AUUAUUUUGGCAGAAAAGUGCAUUAAAUUUAGAAUUUAAAAAUAUGAAUUAUUAUUAAUUUUAUAAAUAAUA
rnacentral:tRNA from 1 species